AUUGAACGCUGGCGGCAGGCCUAACACAUGCAAGUCGAGCGGAUGAAGGGAGCUUGCUCCUGGAUUCAGCGGCGGACGGGUGAGUAAUGCCUAGGAAUCUGCCUGGUAGUGGGGGAUAACGUCCGGAAACGGGCGCUAAUACCGCAUACGUCCUGAGGGAGAAAGUGGGGGAUCUUCGGACCUCACGCUAUCAGAUGAGCCUAGGUCGGAUUAGCUAGUUGGUGGGGUAAAGGCCUACCAAGGCGACGAUCCGUAACUGGUCUGAGAGGAUGAUCAGUCACCCUGGAACGGAGACACGGUCCAGACUCCUACGGGAGGCAGAGAUGGGGAAUAUUGGCCAAUGGGCGAAAGCCUGAUCAAGCCAUGCCGCGUGUGUGAAGAAGGUCUUCGGAUUGAAAGCACUUUAAGUUGGGAGGAAGGGCAGUAAGUUAAUACCUUGCUGUUUUGACGUUACCAACAGAAUAAGCACCGGCUAACUUCGUG
rnacentral:rRNA from 1 species